rnacentral:lncRNA from 1 species
GAGCGCGGACCUGUUUCUCCCCAUAGAGAGAGAGAGGAGCGCGGACCUGUUCUCCCCAUAGAGAGAGAGGAGCGCGGACCUGUUCUCCCCAUAGAGAGAGAGAGAGAGGAGCAAGGACCUGUUUCUCCCCAUAAAUAGAGAGAGAGGAGCGCGGACCUGUCUCCCCAUAGAGAGAGAGAGGGACCUGUUCUCCCCAUAGAGAGAGAGAGAGGACCUGUUCUCCCCAUAGAGAGAGGAGCAAGGACCUGUUCUCCACAUAGAGACAGAGAGAGAGGAGCAAGGACCUUUGUUCUCCCCAUAAGAGAGAGGAGCAUGGCCUGUUCUCCCCAUAGAGAGAGAGAGAGAGGAGCAAGGACCUGUUCUCCCCAUAGAGAGAGAGAGAGAGAGGAACAAGGACCUGUUCUCCUCAUAGAGAGAGAGAGAGAGAGGACCUGUUCUCCCCAUAGAGAGAGGAGCAAGGACCUGUUCUCCUCAUAGAGAGAUAGAGAGGAGCAAGGACCUGUUCUCCCCAUAGGAGAACAGAGAGAGGAACAAGACCUGUCUCCUCAUAGAGAGAGAGAGAGAGAGGACCUGUUCUCCCCAUAGAGAGAGGAGCGAGG